rnacentral:misc_RNA from 1 species
AGGUUGAUGACCCACAACGGGG